ACAAGAUUCAGAAAUGUAUUUCUGAUGCACACACGCAUAUAUCUUGAUUUACAAACUGCUUGCGGUCUGUGAACUUCACUGCAUUUGUUAAAUGCCUUUUUUUAAACAGGGAAUGAUCUGCAACCAAUCAGAUAUCUCCCUUGUUUUAGCCAAUCACAAGAAUGCACCCCACGUGGGGGAUUGUU